UAGGGAAUCUUCGGCAAUGGACGAAAGUCUGACCGAGCAACGCCGCGUGAGUGAAGAAGGUUUUCGGAUCGUAAAACUCUGUUGUUAGAGAAGAACAAGGACGUUAGUAACUGAACGUCCCCUGACGGUAUCUAACCAGAAAGCCACGGCUAACUACGUGCCAGCAGCCGCGGUAAUACGUAGGUGGCAAGCGUUGUCCGGAUUUAUUGGGCGUAAAGCGAGCGCUGUCGGUUUCUUAAGUCUGAUGUGAAAGCCCCCGGGUCAACCGGGGGGGGUCAUUGGAAACGGGGGGAGUUGAGUGCAGAAGAGGAGAGUGGAAUUCCAUGUGUAGCGGUGAAAUGCGUAGAUAUAUGGAGGAACACCAGUGGCGAAGGCGGCUCUCUGGUAUGUAACUGACGAUGAGGCUAGAAAGCGUGGGGAGCAAACAGG
rnacentral:rRNA from 1 species